GUUAGUUUUAAUGCAUGAUAGGGGUACUUCCACGUCUUCUUCUUCCUGCCAGUUUCCCCUAUAAAUUUUAGCCAUUCUCGCCCUUUCGAUCACACACGAAGCAGCUUAACUCUUCACCCAACACACAACUCAAAAUCCCAUCUUCUCACCAAGAGUAGCAGGCGACAGUUCGUAGCUCAAAAUCACAGCCCUCAAAAUUUACUUCAUAACAGAACUCCUCAUUAAGGUCCACUUGAGAGAAGGAAUUAGCUUUGCUUUUACAAGAAGAGAAUUGUACAUCUUUUAUCUACAGGCUUGUUCUAUCGAGUGCUCCUAUGUUCUCUAACGAUCGGGUCCUAGCCGGCGUAGCGAUUGGAUCGCCCUGGUUAGGAUUGUGUACACACAAGGGGGUAUUGUGGGCUGCUCCCACUUGCCUCGGACUGUCAGACUUGGGCUGCUCCCAUUUCUGAAACAUGCAUGGUAGUGGACCUCUGUGGGCUGCUCCCACAAGUUCACAUUAUAGGCGAAGCACCAGUAGAGAGAAGACUGAAAAUGGAUCCACAAUUUAUUUUUAUGUAUGCAUAGAAUGCUUUCAAAUAUUUCUAUGUUAUACUGUUCAUAGCAUGGAUUAUUCUUUUAAACGGAUUUUUCAAAUGUUUUCAAAUGGCUAAACCCACUGAGUAUACUAGUACUCAGCCCUGCAAUUGUUUUCAAAACCUUUUGCAGGUUGAGCGGCAGAUGGUGUCGUGCGAAGCUGAGGGAGGGUGUUGCUGUAUUCCCAAAUGAAUGUCAAGAAUAAAUUCCGCUGCCAUAAUAUUCACUUAGGUGGAUAUCUUUUGAGAUUGACUCUUUAAAUAUUCUUAGCCUAAUUAUUAUGAACUCUUUUGGCAAUCGCAUUUCUAGCAACUGAACCUCGCAUAUAUGUAUGUCUAGUUUGAAGUGUUAUCUUGUUGUUUCAGACCUCCGAACUUUUGAUCCUGGUUGGGAGAAUUUCUAUCUAAGUUGUUGUAUUUAUUAUCCUUCAAUUCCGAAAUUCCUUUAUUA